ensembl:lncRNA novel transcript
GGCCUGGUGUAAUCACAAAGGUCCUUAUAAGAAGGGGCAGGAGAUCAGAGUAGAAGAAAGCAAUGUGACAACAGAAGCAAAGAUAGGAGUGGUAUGGCCAGCAGACAAAGAAUGCUGGCAGACAACAGAAGCUGGAGGAGGCAAAGAACAAAUUUUCUUAUGAAAGGAAAGAAACCAGCCCUGCUGCUAACAUCUUGAUUUUAGUUUCAUUUCAAACUUAUUAUCUCCAGAACUGUAAAAGAAUACAUUUGUUUUAAAUUACUCUGUUUGUCAAAAUUUGUUACAACGACAAUGGAGAACUAAUACACAUGGAGUCAAGAAGAAAAUCAAAGGGGUAAAUAUUUAAUGAGAUUAGCCUAAGAUAGUUUCAUUCAUCUACAUAAUAAUAAGGAUGAAUAAUUAGUCCCUUGGGUAGAACUUCAUAAGGCAUGGAUGUGCCUUGCUUUCAUGCAACUUUGUGAAGUCCUUUUAAAUGUUAUUGGCUGGCCUAUUCAUUUAUCAUUGUUACCAUCUUACUUUGGUUAUCUAUUAUAUUCAUCUAGGUCUCAGGUAAGUUGUGCUUUUAUGAGACCAAUUCUAUCUUGUAGGUUUGAUUUUUGCAUAAUUUUCCUUUGAUCCAUUCUCUCUUGAUUUAAAAUUUCACUCUCAAAGGUCACAAUAAUUCCCAUUAUUUCCAAAUGAUUCAAUAGACCUCCUUCUGGACUCCAAACACUAAGGCUACUUGUCAAGAAAAAUGUUUAUAUUCAAACAAAUGAAUCAUUUCUUGAAUUGUAAAGUUUCUUCUUCACCAUGUAAGAUAGAUAUCUUGGUACCCAAUAGCUGUCUAGGUAAUAUUUAUAUAGAUAAGGCAGCAGUAAAUGCUUAUUUGGAUAAAUCUAUGGAUACCCUCCCCUCUUACUUUUUGCUGUUAUAUAAGGUAAUACAUUUCACAAUAAAGAAAAAACUAAAAUUUCUUAAUAUUCCUUAGUUUUGCCUUUAAAAUCAAUUAAUUACUGGAGAUCUCUUUUUGUUUUGAUUUUUAAAUUUUGUGGCAAUUUAACAAAUAUUGUAUAUAUUUAAGGUGUACAACUUGAUAUUUUGAUGUGCAUUGUGAAAUGAUUACCACAGUCCAGCUAAUUAACAUAUCUAUUACCUCUACAUAGUUACCAUUUUAUAUCUGUACAUGGAGAGAAAUUAGAGCAAAAAUCUUUAAUAUAUAAUGUCAUGUAUUUCAAUUCACUAGUAAUACUCAAUUCUAUAACCCUCCAUUGUUGCACAAUAGAGUAUAAAAAAUUAAGAAACACAAAUUUCCAAGAAAAUUUAUAAGAAUAGCUGACAAAAUAAUCAAUGCCAAAGCUCUAUAAUGUAUAUUCAUAUAUGAGUGUGCAUUAACAAUAAAAAUCACUCUAUUAAUUUUAAUGUUAAAAUUCUUAUAUUUUAUUGUACAUUUUCUGAGGUAUAAUUGUGUUCUAUUCAAAAUAGCAUUUUAA